CAGUCGAACGGAACUGUUUUGAAAGAUUUCUUCGGAAUGAAUUUGAUUUAGUUCAGUGGCGGACGGGUGAGUAACGCGUGAGUAACCUGCCUUCAAGAGGGGGAUAACAUUCUGAAAAGAAUGCUAAUACCGCAUGAUAUAUCGGAACCACAUGGUUUUGAUAUCAAAGAUUUUAUCGCUUGAAGAUGGACUCGCGUCCGAUUAGUUAGUUGGUGAGGUAACGGCUCACCAAGACCGCGAUCGGUAGCCGGACUGAGAGGUUGAACGGCCACAUUGGGACUGAGACACGGCCCAGACUCCUACGGGAGGCAGCAGUGGGGGAUAUUGCGCAAUGGGGGCAACCCUGACGCAGCAACGCCGCGUGAAGGAUGAAGGUUUUCGGAUUGUAAACUUCUUUUAUUAAGGACGAAACUUGACGGUACUUAAUGAAUAAGCUCCGGCUAACUACGUGCCAGCAGCCGCGGUAAUACGUAGGGAGCAAGCGUUGUCCGGAUUUACUGGGUGUAAAGGGUGCGUAGGCGGCUUUGCAAGUCAGAUGUGAAAUCUAUGGGCUCAACCCAUAAACUGCAUUUGAAACUGUAGAGCUUGAGUGAAGUAGAGGCAGGCGGAAUUCCCCGUGUAGCGGUGAAAUGCGUAGAGAUGGGGAGGAACACCAGUGGCGAAGGCGGCCUGCUGGGCUUUAACUGACGCUGAGGCACGAAAGCGUGGGUAGCAAACAGGAUUAGAUACCCUGGUAGUCCACGCUGUAAACGAUGAUUACUAGGUGUGGGGGGUCUGACCCCUUCCGUGCCGGAGUUAACACAAUAAGUAAUCCACCUGGGGAGUACGG
rnacentral:rRNA from 1 species